rnacentral:lncRNA from 1 species
GUGUUUCUUUUGCCAAAUCAAUCAGAAUUUCAACUCAACAUGAGUGAUCACUCACAAGUUGUGACUCCAUCAGAUUUUGACUCAGGAAGUGAAACUCAACUGUCAUUGUCAUCAAGAUCUGAAUGCCUUCUAGCACCUCAAUUCCCAGUGAAUCACAGUUUUUUAAGCAGGGGUAAAAACUUUUCUCUUUUGAUUAAUUCGGAACAGAAUUAUUUUGACUGUCUGUGUUUAAGUUACGACUGACUUGAACUGUCUGCAAGCCAGCAGAAGCUCUCAGAUUGAAUGAGUCCACCAUUUCUGAGACAAAUAAUGCCAUUUGUGGCCAGCUAAAGCUAACAAAAUUGGGGCUCUAGACUUAAAUUACUUGAAAUAACCGACCAUAUCAUUUUUUGAAUUAAGGAGAGAGUUAGUUGUUCAUAUCUAUCGAAAUACUCGGGAAGUUUCGUUGCAAAGUUAGAAGGUGAGUGCUUUUAAUUUGCUUGGUUUCACUUUAGAUGGGAAACCAAUUUCAGUUUUGCACUAACUCACAAUUUAUAAAGAAACUCGAGUUAUAGUGAAGUAUACAAUACUCUUGUCUCUCUCUUCUUUUUUCAGAGAAUGCGGAUGCUCAAAACAAAAUUACACAGAUUGAAGAGAAAAAUUUGCUCUUAUCAGUGGAGAAUGAAAUUUUGGAGAAGUACCUCUUGAAAGUUGAUCCUGCAUCAAUUGAUGGAAUGGAUAAACUAUUAGAAAAAGUGAAUGAAAACAUAGCCAAAUCUCAAAUCAUCGUCCAAUCUCUGGAGCCUAUAUCAAGAGCUGGGAGUCGAACUUCUCAGAUAUCAAAGGCUGAUUCUGUCCACUCUGUUGGACCUACGUCGACUUUUACGCUGCCUGCGUCUGAAUCUCUCAAAAUACCACACAUAAGCUAUGAGUUUCGGCACGAUAUUGUCAGUCGAGAAAUGAACAGCAUGAAAUCAAAACUGAACAACUUGAUUGUCAAAAUGAGAAGGCAAAAAUCUAAUAUCACUGCCUGUUUGGAGGAAGUUGCAAUUCGAAUCAAAGACUUGACGGAAUACACAAAAAAAUUGAUGCUGCUUUCAAAGUCUGAUUCUAAAUCCAAAAUUAAUGUCGGCGUCUAUGUAGGUUUUAUGAGAGGUGUGUUGAAGCAAAUAAUCCAGAACAUUAACCAAGCAAAAACAAACAAAACUAUUUUAAGUAUCGAGAAAAAGAAAGUACUGCUGAGAAUGGAAGAUAAGGAAGAGCUAAGUUCAACUAUUUAUGCUAUCGACUUUGACGUUUUGGAGAUACAGAAUCAAGAAUUGCGCAAACUGCUACACAAGAAGUGCCAUUGUUUAGCUUUGACGAAACGUUUUUUAGGCAGCGCUGAAAAAUCCUUGACAGCUUCAGUCAAUUUAGUUGAUUCUUUAAGUCAAGAGCUGAACAGUAUCAGGAAACACAUCAAACUUAAUAGAAAGAAACUUAUGAACCUUCGUAGGAAAAGGAAAAAACUCGAGUCGGAAAUCAAACAGAAAAGAAAGGAAGCUCUAAUCUCGGAAAAUCAUGUCAUCAAAAGCUCUGGCAAAAGUAUAGAGGCUUUAGAUGUGGUGUCAUAUGCAUUAACUAAACUUUGCGUCAAUGAUCUGGAGCGUAAACUGAAAAUCAGUUCAAGGAAGCACAAUCUCAAAUUGGGAUUGCUCAGUUGUGUGAGGCAUCAUUUCAAAGUUCUAACCAACAAAUCAAACAUGACCUAUAGAAAUUCCCGGGUUUUGUAAUUAUCAACAAAAAAAAAAUGUUCUUUUAAGUGUACAAGUAUCCUCUACAUAUCUUGUAUGAUUUCAAUUAAAUUGAAUGAAAUUGAAUUUGAUCAUCUUGCCUUAUUUUUUGUUCUCCUAUUAGAACGCAGUAAUGAGGAGUUGAUUUAGGUUGACAAUGUGAAAUUAAUCAAUUUAUUUUCAAGCCUCUGUCAAACGAGCAGGUCGACUGUAGAAUCAAUGACAUUUGCCAGCAAAAUUGACAUUCUGUGGGUAUAUUUGCAACCCUGCCGGACUGUACAGUUGGGACUGCUUGUGUGAGAGGAGUUUAAACCUUCAUCAUUUUAGUUUCAGAAUUGUUUCAGAGAUUACCUCUAAACGUUUUCAGUACCUUGGUACUCAAUGUUGAAUUCUGUAAUGUAAUUCUGGUAGUGUGCCUAAUGUACAAUCAAGAUUUUGCAAUUGAUUUAAUAGCCCCAAUACUUAAGAUCUAAUUUUAAUUUUUAUAAAUGAAUGGCAGCAUCAUAAUGAUACUGCCAUUCACUACCACCUACUACAAAAUGAUACUAUCAUUUUUGUUAAUUGAAUUUCUUCUUUUUGAAAAGUAAUUACUGUACUGAGCAGUGUGAUA